GACCAUAAGAUGAGCAGUCACCAUGUAUGUUCAGCCUAUCCUGUAUGUCUCCAGGUUCCAAUCUCCUGACCCUGCAGGCCAAAGAUAGCAGCAAGGAGAGGCAGCGCGGGAGGAAGUGCUUUCUUUUAUUCAUACAGGCUCUGUGUCCAAAUGGAGUCUUCUUCUAAAGGAGUUACAUUAGGACAGCUGCCCGCUGUCUGAUACACCAACCAGAUAUUGAACCCGAAAGAGGUGCAGAGAAAAAAAAGGAGAUGAGCAAGGUAGAGGCCAGUUGAUAUUCUGAAAGGACUGAAGGCACGGUCAAAUCAUUUCAUCACCCCUGGAAAAAAAAGAAAAGUGUCAUACCUGGUCUGCUGGCAGCAGGAGAUAAGUGACAAUACAGAGCCGGAGAUGGAAUCGGCGUCACUGGUCUGCCACAGGCCCACACUGGAGAUGUAAGAAGUGACGCUUUCAAGCCUUUGGCGAGGAUUGCCACAAAAGACAAAUAAAAAAUAUUGCCAGGUCAUACGACAAGUCCUCCUGUCAUCAUGUACUUGUUUGAUCCUAAAAUAUCCAGAGGGACAGCAGAGAGGUAAGCUUCAGCUCAAGUGGUGAAAUCAGCAAGAAAACAUGGCAAAAACGACAAAAGUAGUUUCUUCUGGGAACUUUCCAGUUUCCAAAGGAUCACGGAUCAAAG